AUUGAACGCUGGCGGCAUGCCUUACACAUGCAAGUCGAACGGCGGCACGGGUGCUUGCACCUGGUGGCGAGUGGCGAACGGGUGAGUAAUACAUCGGAACGUACCUUAUCGUGGGGGAUAACGCAGCGAAAGCUGUGCUAAUACCGCAUACGCCCUGAGGGGGAAAGCGGGGGAUCGAAAGACCUCGCGCGAUUAGAGCGGCCGAUGCCUGAUUAGCUUGUUGGUGGGAUAAAAGCCCACCAAGGCGACGAUCAGUAGCUGGUCUAAGAGGACGAUCAGCCACACUGGGACUGAGACACGGCCCAGACUCCUACGGGAGGCAGCAGUGGGGAAUUUUGGACAAUGGGGGAAACCCUGAUCCAGCAAUGCCGCGUGAGUGAAGAAGGCCUUCGGGUUGUAAAGCUCUUUUGUCAGGGAAGAAACGCCGGCUCUAACACAGUCCGGGAAUGACGGUACCUGAAGAAUAAGCACCGGCUAACUACGUGCCAGCAGCCGCGGUAAUACGUAGGGUGCGAGCGUUAAUCGGAAUUACUGGGCGUAAAGCGUGCGCAGGCAGUUAUGCAAGACAGGCGUGAAAUCCCCGGGCUUAACCUGGGAAUGGCGCCUGUGACUAUAUAGCUAGAGUGUGUCAGAGGGGGGUAGAAUUCCACGUGUAGCAGUGAAAUGCGUAGAUAUGUGGAGGAAUACCAAUGGCGAAGGCAGCCCCCUGGGGAUAACACUGACGCUCAUGCACGAAAGCGUGGGGAGCAAACAGG
rnacentral:rRNA from 1 species